CUCUGGUUAUUACAUCGGAAGAGAAGGAAGCCAUUGCUCAGAAUUACGUGAUACCACAAGCCCAUUCUUCCUCUGGUUGAGAAGAUUGGCAGGUCCUCAUAGAAACUUAUGCCAUCUAGUCUCUCAUCAAGUGGUACUACACAGAAAGAGAGUGGAUCAGGAACCUAUAGAAACACAUUGAGAAGAUAUUAUAUACGUAAAACAGCUUUAAAGUCAUAUCACUAACACAGACAAAAUGAUGAUGAAGAUGAUGAAAAAAGAAGAAAAUAAACCUGCUACUGCUGUCUCUCCUGUCACUGUCUCUUCUACUAAUUUAAAAGAUUUUGUCAGUCAGUCUUUGUUUCUGAUCACCUCUAAAAGUAUGAUCAUGGGUUUAGCUUGGACGUCACUGAGUGUUACUACUCUAUGUGGAGACAGGCAUGGUUGAAGGGCAGGGGUUGUCUAAGUAGGGAAAAGGAAGUAUGACUACUACUGGACAGAUGGGAGAUGUAAUGAAGGAGUCGACUUAUGCAUUUGCUAAGUCAUUCAUGUCUUCAAAAUUUCCUUCAAAUGGUUUUCUUUAGAAAGCAAAAAUGCAUCUUCACUUUCCCGAGGGUGCUAUUCCAAAGAACAGUCCUUUAGCAAGUAUUACUAUAGUCUUUGCCCUCCUCUCACUAGCUAGUCUAUGGAUCAUCCAAUACAUCAGAGUAUUGCCAUGACUGGUAAACUGUCACUCACAGGAAAGGUAAUUCCUUGUACCUUACUCUCAUUGACUCCUAUUGCAUGGUGUUUUGUUGGGUUUGAU